ACCAAAACCAAACUGAAACAAAAAUUUAAAACUCAUAAUCUCAUUCCUCUGUUUUAUUUAUGUGUCUAUGUGUUCAGAUGUUUUUAUGUCAUACUUUCUUUAAACACCAGUAUUAUACCUGACAUCAUUAGAAAGCUCCUUAAACUUCUGGUACCAUAGGCUGGUCAGAGUCUAAACAAAUGAAAAAGCUUUACUUCAGCAUUGCCUAGGGUUUGACAUAUGCUGAAAAUAAAUCAUUCUAGUUUGUCUUAGUCAUAUGUAUAUGUAUAGGCACAUAUUCAUAUAUAGCUAUACAUAAACACAUAUAUAUGUGUACCUAUAUAUGCAUGUUUAUAUGUGUCACAAGUGAAAAAUAACUUGUUUGACUUUAUGAGACGUUUUUAAGACUUUAACAUUCCAAAUAAAAUCUUGGGCAACUUUCUGUCUUUAGAAGGUGGGAUUUCGUUUUUUGUCCUAUCCACCACUAGCAGUAAUAGUUUUCAGCCUCUCAUGAAUUAAUUCUCGUUUGCUGACAUUAUUCAUAUAGCAGCCAUGCAAAUGCUUCCAUAGCGGUUGCUGGUUCCUGCCUGGUGAACAGCUAAAUCCUCAUGAGCAAUGGACUAUAAGGGCUAAGUGAAUGUGAUAGAUUUCUGUUUACCUGGCUGUGUCUGGAAGAGGUAAAAGUCACAAAUUUCAGUGACAGGCAGAAUUGAGUUGUCACAUAACAAGUUACUGAUCUCUCUAAAUGUCAUUUUUUAUCAGCUCAACAUAACCCAAGUAAAUCCAGAGAUUCAAAUUGACUGACUCUUGGCACAAUGUGUCAAGAAAUUUGGUCCAGGAACCAACCAUAGAUGUGAUUGCAGUCUUCUGGGAAGUCAGGUGAUUCCCUUCUGCAGCCCUUCUUAAAUGCCCUUUCCCUCUCUGCUUAUUUGUUGUCAUUUCAUCUCUAGAUACCUGGUAGAUCCAUGGUAGAUGCAUGGAAGGUCUCUUCAUGGUAUGUUUCUUGUCCUCUACCAAAUCUCUCCCAGGCAUGGUAUGAUGCUGCUAUUCUUCUUUGUGUCAUCUUCUCUCCUUGUCUUUGUCCUUCAGCUAUUUUAUUCUCUCUCUUUGAUUUCCCCCCCUUCCACUCACACACACUGAUGGCCUCAAUAUGUAUAGUAAGACACAAGGGGAAGGCGUGGGAGAUUUAGGAAUGGGGUUAGUGCUGAGUGGGAAGUGCUAAAGAUUCUCUUAGUGGGUGAGGAGAGGCGAAGAGGCUGUGAAUAUUGAUUUUUGAACAGCUGAGGAUGGGGCUGCUACUUAUAAAAUGAGGAUAUCAUCCUGAUGGGGAUGGUAUUCCUGCUUAGUGAUGUAACCAGAAGUCUGAAAGGUGGACGUAUUCUGUCCUUAAAGCAGAGUAUCUAUCUGGAAUAUCUAUUGUUUUUAGGUUGGGACAAAAGAUGCUGAAAAUCAAGGUAUGGGCCACUCAUUGCAGAUGAUCUUCUCUGCCUCCCCAUCUCCUGCUUGCCCUAGAAGCAGCCUGCUGGGAGACAGAGCAUUAUUGAAGACUGUGGUCUCCCUUGCAACACACCCAAAGCUCUGUAGGUCACAUUGGCUCUGAGUUAAACCUAACCCACAGCUUUGCAUAUGGGACUGCUUUAAAAACAGCUGCCCUCUGUGUUCCAUUAAAAAUAAAAAAGCAAUUUAACAUGGCAAAUUCAUAGUUUCAUAGAUUUCAUCUUGAUGUCAUCUGAACUUUGGAGUUAUAAUUCAGCAGACGUUUUAAUACUCUUGUACAUUUAAAUCAGAUGUCAGUGGGAUACCAGAAGGACCCAGGCUGCAAUAAAACAGCAAAGGUAUAUACAAUAAUGUGUGUUGAGGACCCUUCUAAUUGUUGCCAGGAGUAGUGUUUGUAAUCAUGGCUUCAAAGGCACCUUGGUGGGCUUCUGUGGCUAGAAUCCCAUUCUUCUAGCUCUCUCCUGUGAUCUUUUGCCUGUCAAAGUGUUUGCUUUAAAUCUGCAAUAGUCAAAGAUGCCAGAGACUUAGAAUUUUUGGACUUACCUUGUUCAUGGGAUUUAAUCUGUCAGUGGUUUGUCUGCAAUGGCAGAUUGCAUUUUUUCCCCCAAAGAUGGCGGCAAAAAUAGCUCCCAUGCCAGAUACAAUGUGAACUGGACUGUCCUUUCAUGGAGGUGGGGAAGGUGAUGUCUCUAUCCCAUCCUUUUAAACCUGGGCAGACCUUUGUGAUUAUCUGGACCCACAGAGUAUGACAGAAAGUCACACCAUGUGACUCUUGAGGCAAGACCAUAAAAAUGCCAUGUACUUCUGCCUUGCUAUCUUGGGAUGCUUGUUCCUGGAUCCCAGCCACCAUGCUGUGAGGAAGCCCAAACUAAGCCCACACAGAGAGACCAUGCAGAGAGGCCACGUGUAGGUGUUUCGACUGACAGCCAGUGUCAACCUCUAGACAUGUGAGUGAAGAUGCUUCCAGAUGCUGUAGCCCUCAGCCAUCAAGUCACCUCCAACUGAAGCCCCAGACACUGUGGAGUCAAACUGUCCCUGUUUCUAUCAGACUUCCUGAACCACAGAACCGUGAGCAUAAUGAAAGGGUUGUUUUAUGCCACAAAGUUGAGGUGGCUUAUUUUGGAGCAUUAGUAACCAGAGAGAGAGAAUGAAGAAAGUCCUUCCAAUGAAAUCCGAGCAGGAUGUUUUUCUCCACAUCUGUUUUGGCAAAUAGGAGCGUCAGUGUCUGAAUUGUUUUAGGUAGUCUCACAGGUAUAAAGGAAGUAGCUUUGUUAGUUUACAAAGUGGGUGGGAGUAGAUUAUUGUGAUAUACCCCCACUUCUCUUGUUACCGUUAUUAUAAACAAAUAAACAUCUUGGCUGAGUACAGUGGUGUUUACAAUUGGUUGAUCAUAACCAGUUACCGUUUUCUUUGUUCUUUCUGUACUCUCACUACUUUACUUGCUGAGGCAAAAACAAACAA